rnacentral:rRNA from 1 species
UACGGAGGGGGCUAGCGUUGUUCGGAAUUACUGGGCGUAAAGCGCACGUAGGCGGCUUUGCAAGUUAGAGGUGAAAGCCCGGGGCUCAACUCCGGAAUUGCCUUUAAAACUGCAUCACUAGAAUUGUGGAGAGGUAAGUGGAAUUCCGAGUGUAGAGGUGAAAUUCGUAGAUAUUCGGAAGAACACCAGUGGCGAAGGCGACUUACUGGACACAUAUUGACGCUGAGGUGCGAAAGCGUGGGGAGCAAACAGG